UUGGUGGCGACCGGCGCACGGGUGAGUAACGCGUAUGCAACCCCCUUAUCAGAGGGGAAUAACCCGGCGAAAGUCGGACUAAUAUUGCAUAAAACAGGGACACCGCAUGGUGAUAUUUGUUAAAGAAAUUCGCUGAUAGAUGGGCAUGCGUUCCAUUAGGUAGUUGGUGAGGUAACGGCUCACCAAGCCGACGAUGGAUAGGGGAACUGAGAGGUUGGUCCCCCACACUGGUACUGAGACACGGACCAGACUCCUACGGGAGGCAGCAGUGAGGAAUAUUGGUCAAUGGGCGAGAGCCUGAACCAGCCAAGUCGCGUGAAGGAAGAAGGAUCUAUGGUUCGUAAACUUCUUUUGCAGGGGAAUAAAGUGCGGGACGUGUCCUGUUUUGUAUGUACCCUGAGAAUAAGGAUCGGCUAACUCCGUGCCAGCAGCCGCGGUAAUACGGAGGAUCCGAGCGUUAUCCGGAUUUAUUGGGUUUAAAGGGUGCGUAGGUGGUUUGAUAAGUCAGCGGUGAAAGUUUGCAGCUUAACUGUAAAAAUGCCGUUGAAACUGUCGGACUUGAGUGUAAAUGAGGUAGGCGGAAUGCGUGGUGUAGCGGUGAAAUGCUUAGAUAUCACGAAGAACUCCGAUUG
rnacentral:rRNA from 1 species